rnacentral:rRNA from 1 species
GAUCAUGGCUCAGAACGAACGCUGGCGGCAGGCUUAACACAUGCAAGUUGAACGGGACUUUGAUGUAGCUUGCUACAUCAGAUGAGAGUAGCGCACUGGUGAGUAACACGUGGGAACAUACCCUUUGGUGGGGGACAACAGUUGGAAACGACUGCUAAUACCGCAUAAGCCCUGAGGGGGAAAGAUUUAUUGCCGAAAGAUUGGCCCGCGGAAGAUUAGGUAGUAGGUGGGGUAAUGGCCUACCUAGCCGACGAUCUAUAGCUGGUCUGAGAGGACGAUCAGCCACAUUGGAACUGAGACACGGUCCAGACUCCUACGGGAGGCAGCAGUGAGGAAUAUUGGGCAAUGGAGGCAACUCUGACCCAGCCAUGCCCGCGUGAGUGAAGAAGGUUUUCGGAUUGUAAAGCUCUUUCAGAUGAGAAGAUAAUGACGGUAUCAUCAGAAGAAGCACCGGCUAACUUCGUGCCAGCAGCUGC